CAAUAGCCACAGGGUGAUUCAUUCCCUUAUGCUUCUGGGGGCUGUCAGCAUCCACUUCCCCACCAAUGGUUUGGGUGUUGUCUAUUGCCUAGGAAACGGGACUGGUGGUGAUGACCGACCGAGUGAGCCUGAACCACCGGCAGGACGGUGGCCUCUACACCGAUGAGGCUGUCCCCGCUUUCCAGCCCCACACAGGGAGCCUGGUGGCAGCGGCUCCUUCCAGGCACCCCCCCAGAACAGAGAAGAGAAAAAGGACUUUCUUCCCUGAAACAUGGAUUUGGCAUUGUCUCAACAUCAGUGACCCAUCUGGUGAGGAGACACUCAGUGUGAAGGUCCCGGACUCCAUCACCAGCUGGGUGGGUGAGGCCGUGGCCCUGUCCUCCUCUCAGGGCUUAGGCAUCGCCGAGCCCUCCCUGCUGAAGACCUUCAAGCCCUUCUUCGUGGACUUCACGCUCCCCCCUCUCAUCAUCCGUGGGGAGCAGGUCAAGAUCCCACUCAAUGUCUACAACU
rnacentral:sRNA from 1 species